CAACCCCAAGUCAGGCGGGAUUACCUGCUGAGUUUAAACAUAUCAAUAAGCGGAGGAAAAGAAACUUACAAGGAUUCCCUUAGUAAUGGCGAGUGAACCGGGAAGCACCCAGAAUGAAAAUCGAGCAACCCCGUUGUAGAAAUUGUAGUCUAGAGAAGAGUCCUCAGCAGCGUACUGAGCUCAAAUCCUCUGGAGAGGGGCACCGGAGAUGGUGAGAGCCCCGUCGUGCCCAAACCCUGUCACAUCACGGGGUAUUGUCUGCGAGUCGGGUUGUUUAGGAAUGCAACCCUAAUCGGGCGGCAAAUUUCGUCCAAGGCUAAAUAUGGGCGAGAGACCGAUAGUAAACAAGUACCGCGAGGGAAAGGUGAAAAGGACUUUGAAAAGAGAGUUAAAUAAUGCUUGAAAUUGUUGGGAGGGAAGGGGAUGGGAGCGGGCGAUAUGCCCUAGUCGGAUGUGGAACAGCAACUAGCCGGUCCGCCGAUCGACUCCGGUCAUGGAUAGGUGCAGAUUGGGGUGGAGGCCAAAGCCUGGGCAGUCGAAAAGCCCGUAGAGAUGUCUUCUCCUCGAUCAUGGCUGGCAGCGCACGCCCUUGGUGUGCUUCGGCAUCUGCAUGCUUCUGACACCAACCUACGAACUCUGCAUUUGGCCCGUCUUGAAACACGAACCAAGGAGUCUGACAUGUAUGCGAGUCAACGGAUGAGUAAACUCGUAAGGCGCAAGGAAGUUGAUUGACGGGAUCCCCUCGCGGAUUGCACCGUUGAUGGACCUUGAUCUUUUAAGAAGGGUUCAAGUCUGAGCAUACCUAUCGGGACAUGAAAGAUGGUGAACUAUGCCUAAGUGCGGCGAAGCCAGAGGAAACACUGGUGAAGGCCCGCAAUGAUACUAACGUGCAAAUCGUUGGUCUGACUUGGGUAUAGGGGCGAAAGACUAAUCAAACCGUAUAGUAGCUGGUUCCCUCUGAAGUUUCCCUCAGGGUAGUUGGAGCUUGGGUGCGAGUUCUAUCAAGUAAAGCCAAUGAUUAGAGGCAUCGGGGGUUCAACGCCCUUAACCUAUUCUCAAACUUUAAAUAGGUAGGAUGACACGGCUGCUCCUUUGAUCCGCGCCACGAAAUCGAGAGCUCUAAGUGGGCCACUUUUGGUAAGUAGAACUGGCGACACGGGAUGAACCGAAAACCAGGUUACGGUGCCCAACUGUGUGCUAACCUAUAACCCAUAUAGGGUGUUGGUUGAUUAAGAUAGCAGGAUGGUGGCCAUGGAAAUUGAAAUACGCUAAGUAGUGUGUAACAACUCACCUGCCGAAUCCACUAUCCCCGAAAAUGGAUGGUGCUUAAGCACGCAACCUAUACCCGGCCGUCGAGGCAAGUGCCAGGCCCCGAUGAGUAGGAGGGCACAAUGGUCGCUGCAAAACCUUGGGUGCGAAUGGCCAUUGGUGUAGAUCUUGGUGGUAGUAGCAGAUAUUCAAAUGAGAACAUUAAAGGUCGAAGAGGGGAAGGAUUCCAUCUGAACGGCACUUGCAAAUGGGUUAGUCGAUCCUAAGAGUUGGGAGAAGCCCGAUAGAGUGCGUUUUUAACAUGAGCUUUGAAAGGGAAUCGGGUUAAAAUUACUGAACCGAGACAUGGUGGCUGACGGCAAUGUUAGGGAGUCCAGAGACGUUGGUGGAGGCCGUGGGAAGAGUUAUCUUUUCUGUUUAACAGCUUGCCUACCCUGGAAACGGCUCAACCAGAGGUAGGGUCCAUCGACUGGAAGAGCACCGCACGUCGCAUGGUGUCUAGUGCGCCCCUGGCGGCCCUUGAAAAUCCAGAGGAAUGAGUGCCUCCACCCCCGAUCGCACUCAUAACCGCAUCAAGUCUCCAAGGUGAACAUCCUAUAGUCGAUAUAACAAUGUAGGCAAGAGAAGUCGGCAAAAUGGAUCUGUAACUUUGAGAAAAGGAUUGGCUCUGAGGAUAGGGCACGGGAGUCCUAGUCUUGAACCCGUCGGCUUUCAGCGGACUACUUGAGAUGCACCCGCGGUGAGAGCAGGUUGUUGCGUUUUGGUUGGGGGACAGAUUGGGAACAGUUUCUUGCGGGGCCUUCCCUGGGCAGCGAACAAUCGACUCAGAAUUGGUACAAACAAAGUGAAUCCAACUAUUUAAUUAAAACAAAGCAUUGCGAUGGUCCCUACGAAUACUCAUGCAAUGUGAUUUCUACCCAGUGCUCUGAAUGUCAAAGUGAAGAAAUUCAACCAAGUGCGGGUAAACAGCGAGAGUAACUAUGACUCUCUUAAGGUAGCCAAAUGCCUCGUCAUCUAAUUAGUGACGCACAUGAAUGGAUUAACGAGAUUCCCACUAUCCUCGUCUACUAUCCAGUGAAACCAUAGCCAAGGGAAUGGGCUUAGUAGAAUUAGCAGGGAAAGAAGAUCUUGUUGAGCUUGACUCUAGUCCGACUUUGUGAAAUGACUUGCGAGGUGUAGGAUAAGUGGGAGCCAGAAAUGGAAAAAGUGAAAUACCACUACUUUUAACAUUAUUUUACUUAUUCCAUGAAUCGGAGGGAGGGCAUUGCCCCUCUUUUUGGACCCAAGUCCCGCCAUGGGCGGAAGACAUUGUCAGGUGGAGAGUUUGGCCGGGGGCGGUGCAUCUAUUAAAAGAUAAUGCAGGUGUCCUAAGAUAAGCUCAACGAGAACAGAAAUCUCGUGUGGAACAAAAAGGUAAAAGCUCGUUUGAUUUUGAUUUCCAGUACGAAUAUGAAACCCUGAAAGCGUGGCUUAACGAUCCUUUAGACCUUCAGAAUUUGAAGUUAGAUAACUGGCUUGUGGUAACCAAGCGUUCAUAGCGAUGUUGCUUUUUGAUCCUUCGAUGUCGGCUCUUCCUAUCAUUGUUAAGCAGAAUUCACCAAGUGUUGGAUUGUUCACCCACUAAUAGGAAAUGUGAGCUGGGUUUAGACCAUCGUGAGACAGGUUUGUUUUACCCUACUAAUGGCAGCGUCGUAAUAGUAAUUCAACCUAGUAUGAGAGGAACCGUUGAUUCACAUAAUUAGUCAUCGCGAUUAGUUGAAAAGCCAGUGGCGUGAAGCUACCGUGCGAUGGAUUAUGAUUGAACGCCUUUAAGUUAGAAUUCGGGCUAAAAGCGACGCUUGUGCUCGUCGCCCACUUGCCGACCCGCAAUAGGGGUCGUCCGUCCCCUAAAGGCACGUGUUGUUGGUAAAGCUUGCGGAGCAGAUGAGUUAUGCGGGCCCCUUUAAAGUACAAUUCUUAUCUCGAGCAGUGGGUAGAAUCCUUUACAGAUAACUUUAAUACAUGACGGGGUAUUGUAAGUGGUAGAGUGGCCUUGUCGACACGAUCCACUGAGAUUCAAUCCUGUGUCGCUUUGAUUCAU